GUGCUCCAGCAUGGCCGCAGUCAAAUGACUGAAACAAAUAUAUAUGUAUAUAUAUAUAAAAUGAGGUAAGGUGGGUGUUUCUGCUUCAUUAAAUUUAUUAGUUGUGCACUAACGAGUGGGCCUCUACGUAGUUGCUUACUUUGCUAGAAGCAGCAGCUAAAAGUUUUCCUCAAAUCACACUUCAUCUUUAAAGAAUGUAACUUAGUUCCACAUACUGCUUACUCCUGAAAAAAAAAAUAAAAGACAGGGUGAUCAUGACUGGAAGGCCUUUUAUCAUAAACCUGCUCAAUCAAGACCAAA